CCUACGGGAGGCAGCAGUGGGGAAUAUUGGGCAAUGGAGGAAACUCUGACCCAGCAACGCCGCGUGAAGGAUGAAUGUUUUCUGAUUGUAAACUUCUUUCGCGAGGGAUGAAGAAUGACGGUACCUCGUAAGAAAGCACCGGCAAACUACGUGCCAGCAGCCGCGGUAAUACGUAGGGGGCGAGCGUUGUCCGGAAGGACUGGGCGUAAAGGGAGUGUAGGCGGCAUAUAAAGUUAUGUGGUAAAGCCCGGGGGCUAAACCGCGAAUUGCACAUAAAACUGGUAAGCGUGAGUGCACGAGAGGUAAGCGGAAUGCCCGGUGUAGCGGUGGAAUGCGUAGAUAUCGGGAGGAACACCAGAGGCGAAGGCGACUUACUGGACUGUAACUGACGCUGAGGCUCGAAAGCGUGGGGAGCAAACAGGAUUAGAUACCCGUGUAGUC
rnacentral:rRNA from 1 species